UACGGAAGGCAGCAGGGGGAAUAUUGCACAAUGGGGGAAACCCUGAUGCAGCGACGCAGCGUGCGGGAUGACGGCCUUCGGGUUGUAAACCGCUUUCAGCAGGGAAGAAGCGAAGUGACGGUACCUGCAGAAGAAGUACCGGCUAACUACGUGCCAGCAGCCGCGGUAAUACGUAGGGUACGAGCGUUGUCCGGAAUUAUUGGGCGUAAAGAGCUCGUAGGUGGUUGGUCACGUCUGCUGUGGAAACGCAACGCUUAACGUUGCGCGGGCAGUGGGUACGGGCUGACUAGAGUGCAGUAGGGGAGUCUGGAAUUCCUGGUGUAGCGGUGAAAUGCGCAGAUAUCAGGAGGAACACCGGUGGCGAAGGCGGGACUCUGGGCUGUAACUGACACUGAGGGAGCGAAAGCAUGGGGAGCGAACAGGGAUUAGAUACC
rnacentral:rRNA from 1 species